AGUGAACGCUGGCGGUAGGCCUAACACAUGCAAGUCGAACGGCAGCACAGUAAGAGCUUGCUCUUACGGGUGGCGAGUGGCGGACGGGUGAGGAAUACAUCGGAAUCUACUUUUUCGUGGGGGAUAACGUAGGGAAACUUACGCUAAUACAGCAUACGACCUACGGGUGAAAGCAGGGGAUCUUCGGACCUUGCGCGAUUGAAUGAGCCGAUGUCGGAUUAGCUAGGUGGCGGGGUAAAGGCGCACCAAGGCGACGAUCCGUAGCUGGUCUGAGAGGAUGAUUCGCCACAUUGGAACUGAGACACGGUCCCGACUCCUACGGGAGGCAGCAGUGGGGAAUAUUGGACAAUGGGCGCAAGCCUGAUCCAGCCAUACCGCGUGGGUGAAGAAGGCCUUCGGGUUGUAAAGCCCUUUUGUUGGGAAAGAAAAGCAGCAGGUUAAUACCCCGCUGUUCUGACGGUACCCAAAGAAUAAGCACCGGCUAACUUCGUG
rnacentral:rRNA from 1 species